CCUAUGAAUAUAUUACCUUCUGUGGAAAAGGGGACUUUGCCGAUGUGAUUAAGAAAGCUGAGACAGAAAAUUUAUCCUGGAUUAUUUAUUUGAGUGGGUCCAAAUGCUAAACUACUAGCUUUGAAAAUAGAGGAAGAGCCCAAGAACCAAGGCAUGCAGGAGGCCUCUAGAAGCUGGUAGAAGAAAGAGGGAAGAUUUUCCCCUACAGCCUACAGAAGAAAUGCAGCCCCAUUGAGCAACAGAACUGCGAGAAAAUUAAUUUAACCUGCCUCGUCCAUGUACAUCCUUCAAGCCUCUUGCUUCCCCCUUCAGCGGUGCAGAUUUCUUGUAGACCUGAUGCACUUCGCCAUGGAGAGCUACAUAUGAGGCUCUCCCAGUGUUUGGAGAAGCUAAAGGAGGAGCUCUAGCAAGACCUAGAGAACAUCGUGUGAACACUGAGGAACAGAGGAGGUACAAAAGAGAGAAGGUCAAGUGAAGACAGAGACAAAGAUUGGAGGGAUCCAGCUGCAAGCCAAGGAAUGCCAAGGAUUGUGGGCAACCACAAGAAGCUGGGAGAGAGGCAUGCAACAGAUUUUCCCUCAGAGCUUCCACCCUGUGGACACCUUGAGUUCAUACUUCUAGCCUACGGAACGGUGAUUAAAUCAGUUUUGUUGUUUUAAGCUGCUCACGUUGCGGUAAUUUGUUACAGCAGAUUUAGGAAACUAAUACCAUUCCCAGGCCUAUGUUCUUGUGGAUCAUGUUUGCCAAAAUUGGGUCAUAAAUCCAUUCCUAAACAAAUCACUGGAAAGGAGAAGAGAUUAUGACCAUUGGUUUGAUCUAGUCAUUUGUAGUGGAAAAUAACUGUAGGGACUCAACCAUGAGGACUACUACAGUUAGUCACUGUUUACUUCUCCCUGUUCCUUACCACCCUCACACACAACUACUGGUUCCAUACAUUGUGCUUUGUCAAUAUCUCUUUUGUAUGUAUGCCUUUCUUUUUAUUUUGUAUGUGACAUUUUGACACUUAAAAGCAUUCACAUGUUUCAAAAAUCAAAAUAUUACAAAACAAAAUAAAAAACUAUAAACAUCCACCCAGAAGUUCCCUCCCACCUAUGCCCCAUUCCUUCUGUUCAACUACUACUCCAAACUUGGUUAACCAUGUUUAUUAGUUUCUUAUAUAUUUUUCCAGUAUUUGUUUAUGCAAAUAUUUUUAAAA